GAAAGGUGCACUGCUGUGAAUAGCACAUUGCAGAGACACCUGCGCUUUAUCCGUGCAGGAUCGAUAGCAAGAGACUUCGGAAGCACAAUUUUUGUUUCUUGGAGCGGCUGGUGAUUGUUUGUCUCGGUGCGCCA